UACGUAGGGUGCAAGCGUUGUCCGGAAUUAUUGGGCGUAAAGAGCUCGUAGGCGGUCUGUUGCGUCGGCUGUGAAAACCCGGGGCUCAACCCCGGGCCUGCAGCCGAUACGGGCAGACUAGAGUUCGGCAGGGGAGACUGGAAUUCCUGGUGUAGCGGUGAAAUGCGCAGAUAUCAGGAGGAACACCGGUGGCGAAGGCGGUCAUCUGGGCCAGUACUGACGCUGAGGAGCGAAAGCGUGGGGAGCGAACAGG
rnacentral:rRNA from 1 species